AGUAACUUGCUCCUGUGAGAGG
rnacentral:miRNA from 1 species